rnacentral:snoRNA from 1 species
ACUGCCCCUAGAGGCGUUACAGAUGUGACUGCUGUGUCAUGUGUGUCAUUAGGUGGCAGAGACAAGAGAGGCUUGAUGUGACUGCUGUGUCAUGUGUGUCAUU